CCUACGGGAGGCAGCAGUGGGGAAUAUUGGGCAAUGGGCGCAAGCCUGACCCAGCAACGCCGCGUGAAGGAAGAAGGCUUUCGGGUUGUAAACUUCUUUUGUCAGGGACGAAGCAAGUGACGGUACCUGACGAAUAAGCCACUGCUAACUACGUGCCAGCAGCCGCGGUAAUACGUAGGUGGCAAGCGUUAUACGGAUUUACUGGGUGUAAAGGGCGGGUAGGCGGGGAAGCAAGUCAGAUGUGAAAACCAUGGGCUCAACCUGUGGCCUGCAUUUGAAACUGGUUUUCUUGAGUGAUGGAGAGGCAAUCGGAAUUCCGUGUGUAGCGGUGAAAUGCGUAGAUAUUAGGAGGAACACCAGUGGCGAAGGCGGAUUGCUGGACAUUAACUGACGCUGAGGCGCGAAAGCGUGGGGAGCAAACAGGAUUAGAUACCCCUGUAGUC
rnacentral:rRNA from 1 species